CCUACGGGUGGCAGCAGUGGGGAAUAUUGCACAAUGGGGGAAACCCUGAUGCAGCGACGCCGCGUGAGCGAAGAAGUAUCUCGGUAUGUAAAGCUCUAUCAGCAGGGAAGAAAAUGACGGUACCUGACGAAGAAGCCCCGGCUAACUACGUGCCAGCAGCCGCGGUAAUAUGUAGGGGGCAAGCGUUAUCCGGAUUUAGUGGGUGUAAAGGGAGCGCAGGCGGGGUGGUAAGUCAGAGGUGAAAGCCCGGGGCUCAACCACAGGACUGCGUUGGAAACUGUCGUGCUGGAGUGUCGGAGGGGUAAGUGGAAUUCCUGGUGUAGCGGUGAAAUGCGUAGAUAUUAGGAAGAACACCAGUGGCGAAGGCGGCUUGCUGGACGACAACUGACGCUGAGGCUCGAAAGCGUGGGGAGCAAACAGGAUUAGAUACCCCUGUAGUC
rnacentral:rRNA from 1 species